rnacentral:tRNA from 1 species
GGUUAUGGCUCAGCGGUAGAGUGCUCGCCUAGCAUGUUCGAGUCUCUGGGAUCAAUCCUCAGCACCA